AUCCAACUAAUUCUGGUGGAAGAGGUAAUCAUCUGAAUCUUUUCCUCUGAAAGGACAUGAAUGCAACAACUUCUGGAUUCGAAAACUGAUUGAAAGUCGCAAGCGGUGGAUACGUGACUGAAUUGAUGAUAGAAUGUAGCGGAAUGAACGAAAAUUGUAAGAUGAAAUGUUUUUGGUGGAAUGAAGAUAUAAGGAAACAAAAGGAAUUGAAGGAACACUCCAAGAGGUGAUUUUUUGUGAUUGAGAAUUGAAAUGGAGGCAAAGGAGUAUAUGUUGAACUGUGAUGCGGAUGGAGUAAAGUAUGCUAGGAAUGGAAGCCUAGCUAGGGAGAGAGGCUAUAGGAAACUCUCAAGCUCUUUCUCGGUGACCUUCAAGGAAGAAGAUAAUUUUGAACUAAAUCAACAUAAGAAGAAAGCUAUUUAUAAGUUCUCUUGCUUGUGCAACCUCAAUUUUUGAAAUAUAAUAGUUGACAAGUCACAUGGGAGGCACUGCAGGCACGUGGAGAUCUCUUGAAUCUGCUGGAGCGGUUUUGAAGCUGUUGGAUGCACGUGAUGUCCUAAACACUGGCACUGAGCACGAGAUGGAGGGCGUUGAGUGCGAUAUGCCCUUUCGUUCCUCCUAAUCAGCUGGCGCUUUCACUUCACCCUUUCUUAAUGCUUCCUUGCUUCCUUCCUUGAUUCUCU
rnacentral:lncRNA from 1 species